UACGUAGGCAGCGAGCGUUGUUCGGAGUUACUGGGCGUAAAGGGUGCGUAGGCGGGUCUUUUAAGUCAGGGGUGAAAUCCUGGAGCUCAACUCCAGAACUGCCUUUGAUACUGAAGAUCUUGAGUUCGGGAGAGGUGAGUGGAACUGCGAGUGUAGAGGUGAAAUUCGUAGAUAUUCGCAAGAACACCAGUGGCGAAGGCGGCUCACUGGCCCGAUACUGACGCUGAGGCACGAAAGCGUGGGGAGCAAACAGGG
rnacentral:rRNA from 1 species